UUCAUGAAACUUGUUGAAGGCUGACUUCUUUGCCAUUUUUUAAUGCAUGCUUAUUUGUCUUGAUAUUUUAUUUCAGGGAAUAAUAUAUUUUAGUGUCUGCAUCAAUCUUAUAGUUAUUGAGCAUGAAUGGAUUCUGUUUUCAGAUGAUGGAAUACACCAAUGCCUAGUACAAUCAUGGCCCAUUAGAAACCAGAACAAACCAUGGCUGCAAAGGAAAUAAGAUGCACAUAGUCUGAAAGAUCUGGCUGGUGUUCUGAAUAAGAUGACAUAAUAUCUCAACUGCAGAAGUACAGCUGGCAUGGAGGGGUUUCACCAGCACAUCUUGAUGUAUUGUACCAAAAGAUUUGCUUACACACCACCUGUUUAUAGGAUGCACAAUCUUCUAGCAGCCAUAGAUUAUAAUAUACAUGCAAAUAGACCAUACAUCACCAACAAGGGGGAUCUGUUAGACUUCAGCGAGUCUGGAUGAAUUAAAGAAGAAGAAAAAGUAUCAUUAUACCAUUUUUCAUGAUGCUAUAACUCUGAGAAUUAGUGACAUGGAGGGGAUAUAUAAAAUAGAAAGUUAGAGGAAGAUGACCCCCACAGACUUUCAAAAUAUUUGGCCCAAGUUAGCCCGAAGCCUACCCGAGCCAUUCAUGAGGAACAUAAAUCAAGAUAUGAUUGACUUUUUAUGGAAAAGAAUGAUAACUAGUGUGUUACACUGAUUGCCCAACUAUUCAAACAUAUUUAAGCUGACAUUGAACACCUGGUAUUCAUGAUAGUUUUAUGAAAUAUCUUUUUAGAUAUGGCACUGUAUCUAUCUUGUUUCGAAAAAAAUUCUCUUGAUUCAUUUGUCAUGACUCAAGGUCUGUUUUUAAUAUUUUGUCAGAAAAAUGACUACUUUUUAUACAAGUGCAAAAUAUUAUCCAAUCUAUUAAACUAUAAGUGCUGCUAUGAGCUUUAAUGUAGUAACGAAGUUAAAAGUAUUAUUCAAUUAUAUCUUUUGAUAUACAUGUACUAUGUCAUUCACUUUAGCUCAGCUUUUCUUUUUUCUU